UACGUAGGUCCCGAACGUUGCGCGAAUUUACUGGGCGUAAAGGGUCCGUAGGCGGUUUAGCAAGUGGUUGGUGAAAUUUCACGGCUCAACCGUGAAACUGCCUUCCAAACUGCUAGACUUGAGGCAGGGAGAGGGCGGCGGAAUUCCCGGUGUAGCGGCGAAAUGGGUAGAUAAUGGGAGGAACACCAGUGGCGAAGGCGGCCGACUGGAACUGUCCUGACGCUGAGGGACGAAAGCUAGGGGAGCAAACCGG
rnacentral:rRNA from 1 species